AUGGAUGGGGAACACCAGGAAGAUAAUCCUUUACACGAGAAAGGAAAUCCUCUACACAAUGAAGAGAAGACUUCAAGUGAUGUGGAGAAGACUUUAUAUGACAUGGAGAGAGCUUUAUGUGACAUAAAAAAUAGUGCUGAAGAGAGCAGUUCAAGUGAUGAUAACAGUUCAGGUGAUGAGGUAGAAGAACAAAGACUGGAUUCAAACCUCCCAAGUGGUUCAGAUCCUCUUCCAUCUAAUGCAGAAAGCCCCUGCGAUAAUAGUGAAUCUGAGCCGUCCCCCCAAAAAGCAGCACAAGCUAAAAAAACUCGCCUCAAGAAGUUUGCGCCACGGAAAGGCACAAGGUCAAGCCUACGUUCCAGCACAAAAUUGACAGUCAGUGCAUGUGAUACGACAGAUGGUAAAAGAAAAUUGGACAAAAAGCACUUCUGCCUUUAUUGCAAUGAACCACACCACAACAUUGCAAGACAUUUAGAAAGGAUGCAUGCAGAAGAAGCAGCUGUUGGUCAUGCUAUCAGCUUCCCAAAACUCUCCAAAAUCAGGUCUCUGUUGCUUGACCAACUCCGUAACAAAGGCAACUAUCAACACAACUUUGAAGUUCUUCAAAGUGGAGAUGGGGAAAUUGUGAGAAAGUGUAGACCAUCUAACGAUGGCGUUUCUGUGCGUGACUGCCUGCCCUGCCAACACUGCUUAGCUUUUUUCUCCAAAAUUGAUUUAUGGAAGCAUGAGAGCUCAUGUAAUGCCAGAAAAGGACAAGAUGAAACGACAGGAGGAAAAAGAGUGAGGGUCCAGGCUGCGUCCUCUCAACUUGCUCCAUUGUCUGUCUAUUCUACUGGAGGAUGUGAAGAAAUAAUACACAAUAUGAAUCAAGAUGACAUCUCAUGCCACAUCAAAAAUGAUCCCCUCAUAUGUAAAUAUGGCAAUGCACUAUCUGGAAAGCAUGGUCAUGCCAAGUCACAGUUUACUUACAUUGGUUCAAAAAUGAGGGAAUUGGCUAGAUUUGUACUUGCUGUAAAUGAGAUGGACUGUGGUGUUCAAUAUCUGCAUGAAGUAUGUGUACCAUCCAAAUUCAAAUUGGCCGUUCAUGCUGCCAGGAAAAUGAGUGGUCAUGACCCUGCCUCCGACAGGUACAAGACCCCAUCUCUUGCUUUAAAGAUAGGCUAUUCCUUGAAAAGAGCUACCGAAAUAGCUUUUGGGGAGAGUCGUAUGACAGAGGACCGUGAGGCAGAGGAACAAGCCAAAAGGUUCAUUGAACUUCUUGAAAACGAUUGGAAUAACUCUUUUUCCGGUCUAUCCCUCAGCGCUGUCCCUCAGUGUGAUGAAGUUGAUGUGUCUUCACUAACUGAGGAUUUGAUCAAACUUCAGAAGUUUCUCAAGGUUGCAGAGGACACAGCGAAGAAAGAAUUGCUGGAGAACCCCACCAACACUGUCUGGAAAAAGCUCAAUGAAACUCUUCUUGCAGAAAUAGCUCUCUUCAACAGAAAAAGGACAGGGGAGGUUGCAAAAAUGCUGUUGGAAACGUACACAAACAGGAAGAAAGCUCCAGCUAGUGCAGACAUUUUCAAUAACCUCUCAAGGCUGGAGCAGGAGCUUGGAGACAACAAAUUAACCAGGUUGGAAAUAGAAGGCAAAAAUGGUAGGAAAAUGCCAGUCCUACUAACGGAGAGGAUGAUCUCAUCUCUUGAGAUCCUUAUUGCAAACAGAGACAAAGUUGGUGUGUCAAAGGACAACCCUUAUGUCUUUGCACGUAGCCUGGAUGCAGCAACCUACAUCAGAGGGUUUGACUGUCUGAGGAAGUGUGCACAUGAGUGUGAUGCAAAGAAUCCUGAAAGUCUGAUCCAUGCGACAAUGAGGAAAGAGGUUGCUAUCCAUUGCCAACUACUAAACUUGAAUGAAAGUGAAUUGGAUCAGGUGGCAAAGUUAUUGGGACAUGACACCCAGGUCCAUAAAGAGUACUACAGGCUCUCUGAAAAUGCAGCACAUCUAGCAGAAAUCAGCAAACUGCUGCUUGCAAUGGAUCAGGUUCCAGUGGUAAUUCCAGGGCCAUCUGAGGAAAGGGUUGUUUAUCCUACAUAUGGUGAGUAUUAG
rnacentral:lncRNA from 1 species